UUCCCGCUUGAUGUAGUCCUGCUUCCGUUCGCGCAAGAUCAGCCGCUUUUCGCACACUUUAACUGCAAGGAGAAGAUCGAAAGACAAUACGGUCAGAUAUGGGUUAAAAAAAGGAGACACAGUUGUAGAUCAAAUUACUGAUACAGAUAAGUCCGACUUGGCUGGCAAACCACAUUUUGCUUGCGGGAACCGCUCUUGGCAACAACAAAGACAUAGACAUAUACAUACCAAUGCAAGUGAUUAAAUAAUUGUAUUUAAAAAUGCGACAUAUGUAUGUAUGUACAAAUAAGCACACAAAAUGUACGCGUGAGAAUAAUAAAACAGCACACAAACCAGCUAGCACACAUGGUUUUUUUUUUCUGGCUCAACAGGCGACCAAAUUUUCACAGUCCGUUGGACUUCCCCCUAAAUUUUUGGUGGCCCAGUCAGAUAUUGCUUGUGACUCUUUUGUGACCUGGUGAAAUAAAGAGCAUUCAGUGUAGAGAGAACCGUAAAAGAGAAAUGAAGGGCCAUAGGCAAGGAAGACGGGGAACGAAAACGUGGAAGAGACGGCGGGGAAUUUUCAUUUCAAAACUCAGAUCAAAUUGCUAAAUUAACAGCGAGACAAACGAAAGCGAGCGCCCUUAGAGGAACUUGUUUUGACUUCCUUCCCUUUCCCGCUUUCGGGCCCCCCAGAAAUCACAGCAAGCCAGAACGUUUGAACGCGAUGGAGAACGCAGAGUUAAACAAAUUUUAAACUGGUUGUUGAACUGGAAUCCGCGAAGAAAGAGAAGAGGGCAGCAAGCGCAAGGGGGCAAGUGGGAACUACAAAGAUGGGCCGUGUGAAACGGUGUUUUAAACUUGCAUCCCACUCCAUCCCGCACGGGGUUAACGGUUAUUAUGAGGGCGAGUGAGAGAGUUCUGACCGCUUAUCAGUAGUUUCUCAUUUGGUUCUGCCCGCCGUUAUUUUUUUUCCAAUCACGAAUACGCUUUUGAUUGACAAUCGCAACGGAAAAUCACAAAUCUGGUGAAAAUAAUGCUAAAAAUAAUAAAUUAGCCCCAACCAUAUCUGUCGACAUUUCACACUAUCAUAAGUCUAUAGGCAAAAAUAAAUUUCAAGAUAAUUUUGCAUUUAUUUUUUUGCAGGUCCCUCUAUCAAGAUCAAAACAAAACGGUGUGCCAACAACUAUUCGCGGCAACAGAGGGUAAACAGAACAGGGAAAAAUCAAAUAGAAUAAAAAAUGAAAUCGGAAUCUUGUCUAAAAAACAUCGGGGCGAUAAGUCGUCGGUCGAGUGGCAACAAAAUAAACACAAAGAGGAAAAACAAAAUACAGCAAUUAAAAGAUUAACAAAGCACGGCGGCAGCAACAACAACUAACCGAGAAAUCAAAAGGAACAGAACGAAAAUGUUUUUUAUGCGUUUUAAAUUUCCCAAGCGAUAGAACAGCAUACAAAAGUGCGUAAAAACACAAUUGACCUUCAAAAAUUUUUUGCGCAAAAUAUAAAAACAAUGUGAUUAUCGCCCCGAUCCGAUGCAAUAAAAACAUUACCUUUUUCA